rnacentral:rRNA from 1 species
GAGCACGUAGGUGGGUUUGUAAGUCAGAUGUGAAAGCCUUCUGUUCAACGGAAGAAUUGCAUCUGAAACCGCGAGUCUUGAGUGUAGGAGGGGAGAAUGGAACUUCUGGUGGAGCGGUGAAAUGCGUAGAUAUCAGAAGGAACGCCGGCGGCGAAAGCGAUUCUCUGGCCUAUUACUGACACUCAGUGUGCGAAAGCUAGGGGAGCAAACGGGAUUAGAUACCCCGGUAGUCCUAGCCGUAAACGAUGGGCACUAAGUAGAGGGGUUUU